GACGAACGCUGGCGGCGUGCUUAACACAUGCAAGUCGAACGGAAAGGCCCUGCUUUUGUGGGGUGCUCGAGUGGCGAACGGGUGAGUAACACGUGAGUAACCUGCCCUUGACUUUGGGAUAACUUCAGGAAACUGGGGCUAAUACCGGAUAGGAGCUCCUGCUGCAUGGUGGGGGUUGGAAAGUUUCGGCGGUCGGGGAUGGACUCGCGGCUUAUCAGCUUGUUGGUGGGGUAGUGGCUUACCAAGGCUUUGACGGGUAGCCGGCCUGAGAGGGUGACCGGCCACAUUGGGACUGAGAUACGGCCCAGACUCCUACGGGGGGCAGCAGGGGGGAAUAUGGCACAAGGGGCGGAAGCCUGAUGCAGCAACGCCGGGGGCGGGAGGCCGGCCUUCGGGUUGAAAACCGCUUUCCCCUGUGACGAAGGGGGAGUGACGGUAAUGGGUAAAGAAGCACCGGCUAACUACGU
rnacentral:rRNA from 1 species